UAUACAGUCAUAUUUCCCCGGGCUACAAGUUUCCCCGCACAUGAUAUAUCUCUAGUGGUUUGUUUGUGCCCCGCACACAUAUCACUGGACCAAGACCGCAUGCUCCAACCAUUCAAAAUUGGCGCGCACGAUGGAUUAUGGAGCAAUAUGAGAGGCUGGUCGCGUAUAUUGUCAAUGGAGAGUGUCCAGACAGACUAACGAAAUCAGAGAAGUUUGCACUGAGGCGAGCGAGCAAGAGCUACUCGGAGGCUAUAUUACGAGGACAAAAUGGCGGAUGGACAAGGUACUCUCUCGCGCUUGGUGUUACAGGGGAGAGAAGAAGUGAAACGUGUAUACACAGAAUGCCAUUUAUCAGAUGGUGGUCAUAAAGGACGAGAUGCUACUAUCGAAAAAAUCAAACAACGAUAUUAAGCAUACUGACCAAACUAUUACAAAGAAAUCAAAGUUACGAGAUCAAAUUAUGUGACAUGCCAGAGAAACGCUCCUCAACUGCAACCUGCAGCUUUGCCAUUGCAGCCCAUUAAAUUCACCCAGAAGUCUGGUAUCUAGUUGGCAUGGACGUGAUAGGACCUUUCUAGGAGAGUAAAAGUGGCAACAAGUAUGUCCUAACAAUCACAGAUUACUUCAGCAAGUACGUAGAAGCUGUCCCAAUACAAGACAAGUCAGCAUUCAAUGUUUCAAGAGCAAUAUACAAGUUAAAUGAAAACCUUCAGAAGAACUUUGACGUCAAGAUGAGAAUUACACUGGCAUACCAUCCGCAAUCUAGUGGGUUGGACGAAAGAACUAAUCAGACAAUCAAGAGAUCUUUCUCUAAAAUGAUGUCUUCACCUGAUGAUGAUGGGGAGAAGUACUUAGAUUCAGUGAUCUUUGCAACAAAUAGCAACAAAUACAAGUCACCAAGGCACAACCAAUACCAGUCCAUUUAGAAUGAUGUUUGGACGUGAGCCAAGGUUUUCAUGAGAAGCUGAGAAGGCUGGAGAUGGUACAGACAUGAGUGAUGGCCAGAAGCAAUGGCAAGACUGUGACGUUGAACAAGUGAUAGACAGGAUUAUUGAAAAGCAGACAUGUCUUUCCGUAAAGUAGCAACGAAUUGCGACUGCACAGGAAAAGCAAAAGGAGCGGUAUCAAAGACGCAAGGGGAUUGUUCAAUACCAAUUUGAGAUUGGAUGUAUUGUCUUGAGAUGCAACAUGAAGCAGAAAACCAAAAAGGGGCAUAAAUCUGAAGAUUGAUGGCUUGGCCCAUACACUAUUGCAGAGCUCUCAGCAACAUCAUGUUUGCUGGUAGACAAACACAAUGAGAAACUCAAAACAAGGGUCAACUUAAGCCAGUUAAAGCGGUACCAUGAACCUAUCACUACAACGGAGGAAACAAAGGCAGAUACUGAAAUUAUUCACUUAACUCAUGAAGAUACAUUGCCAGCAACUGAAGGCACAGGACCAAGGCUUUGGUUAGUUGGAUUAAAUGAAGAUGACAAGAAAAUACUUGCACCAAAUGGUUGACUAAAAGACAGACCUGUGAAUGCUGCCCAGGACUUGCCUAAAGUACAGUUUCCAAAUGUACCUGGCUUUCAGAACAAACUUCUUGGACAGAAUUUUCAUUUAAUGUUCAGCCAUCAGAGUUUGUCCAGAUACUUCACAAUGGUCAGUACCACUGGUUCAUGGUGUUUACUAUUGGUUGUGGCCCUGGAGAGAUUGAAGUAUACGAUAGUGCGUCCACCAACCUUACUACUUCUUUGAAGAGUCAGAGUGCAUCUCUCCUGUUUACUUCAUUGCCAUCAUCACAGUCAGAUUGUGGAGGUGAGAUAGAAGAAAUGGCUUCUAGUAUGAAGAAUGAUCUCCAGAGUAAUAAAUGAGGAACUGAGUGGUAUGCAACAGAGGUUUCAUAAUCUGAAACAUACAGUGGAAAAUGAGAACAAGUCCAGAUAUUGAGAAACGAACAACCACGCCAAGGAUGAAGUGACUUCUAGGAGUGGAACAAUUAGAGAAGAUGAAUUUUUUAAGAUCAGAGUUAUGCGGAAAUAGUUAGAGUAGAUCAAAAUAGAAAAAGGCUGGUGACAAUAGUAGGAAGUAUCAAAGUGAGAAGAGUGGUCAAUGAAAGUUGAAUAGAAUAGAGCUGGAAAAUGGAUGCUGGUUGACAGACUGAAUUGGAGAAACAUCAAAGCUGUUGUGGGUUCUUGUAAGAAAGUCAAGCUUGGAAGGUGCAGAACAGAAAAACGAGGCACAUGGGACUUAUAUAUUGGCAGCCUAAAAGAGGAUGUUACAGCGAAAAAUGUUAUGGAGUACAUAAAUUAAGGGUGUGGAUACCAAGAUGUGGGACUUAUGAUCUUCUAAAAUUCAGAGUACAAAAAGCGUCAGAGUUAGAGUUGCUCUGAGUAUAAAGACAAAGUAUUGGAUGCUGGUUUUUGGCCACAAUUUGUACAAGUCAGGUCCUGGGUAAUAAGGCUGAAGUGGGCUAAAGAGUAUCAAACUCAGAGGUAGGAACAAAAGGCGUAUGAUGAUCAGUUUGAGUUAAAGGUUGGCAGUUUUAACUGUAAGGGGUUUCAAUCCUCAGAGGAUUGUAUUCGAGAACUUUUCAAUGAAGUGGAUAUUUUGAGGCUUCAAGAGACUUGGCUGACUGUAUUAGAGUUGGAUAUGGUGUCUUCUGUAGCAGAAGAUGUUGAAUAUGUUUCAGUUUCUCCUAUGGAGGCAGCUAAGAUACAAGUAGGACGACCAUAUGGUGGGGUGGCGCUGUUAUGGCAUAAAUGUUAUCAACAUGUAAUAUUUCCAGUAUGUACAGUGUCCGAGAGGAUAGUUGCAGUCAAGAGUAGACAAGCAUUGAUUGGGCUCUGGUGAUUCAGCAACAUUGGAUGCUUUCAUUGCAGAAAUUGGCUAUAUUGAAGGGUUGUUGGAGCUGGAAACUUAUAGUGCUGUCAUGGGUAUGGGAGAUUUUAACACAGAUAUACACUCUGCGGUGAAAUGGUACUCAAGAAGGUUACAAGCCUUUUUUUCGAACUGGAAUUUGAUAGCUGUUGGCCUUGAUGAUUCGGUGUAUUCAGGUCAGUCAACUUGGCAUAGCUCUGACUUUCGUCUGGAUAUCUGAAUUGAUUAUUUUUGCAUCUCAAAUUGCUUGAGGGGAGAAGUCAAGAGUUUUGAGAUAAGGAUGGAGAAAGUGUUACAUCUGAUCAUUGGCCGAUUGUAUUGAAUGCAAGUAUUGGUAUUCAGGCAUUGCAAAUUGAUUCUCAAUUUGUCUUGCCGAAACAUUUGAUGCUGCAGAGAGCAAGGGAAAUGGAUAUUGUCAAAUAUCGCCAAUAUCUGGAAAUAGAGCUGGAUAACAUUCCAAUACCAUGCAGUAGAUGCAGAAUCGUGUAACCAUGUUCACGACUUACAACUAUUCUAUGAUGCCUUGGUUGAGGCUAUGCUGAAGUCUGCCAAAAAAAAAGAUGUAUUCCGCAAGGAAAGAGAACUGGAAGGAAGAUUGGUUGGGAUAGAGAUUUGAAAAAUUUGAAGAAAGGGGCAAGAGUAGAAUACAGGUUAUGGCGCACUGCUGGGAAGCCUCGUUCAGGUGAUCUAUUUGAAUCGAUAUGUGUUGUACUGUGCAAGGAGGCAGUUUAAAUGUAAACUGCAUGAAUAAGGUAAAAGAGUCACAGAGACAUUUUCUGUGGGGUGCCCCAAAAAGACUUCCUUCUGAUCAGGGGAGAGAGUUUGUUUCACAAGUCUGAAUGAUUAUGGCAAGCUGUGCAGGCUUUCUUAUGCAUGCUCAUUGUUUUGGGCAUAGCAUAUGGAUUGAUGGAAGACUUGGUAUUGGGUAGAAGGAAUGUUAUACAGAAUUCUUUCACCUCAUAACUACAUUUUCUUGUUCAUUAAGUUUGUCGUAUGAUGCAAAAUAUUUUGCAUGUAUUUUCAGGGCAAUACAGAGUUGACUGUGUUGAAGAAGACUAAAUAUACUACACUGGCGAUGAGGAUGGCGGCGAACAACACAUUCGGGUUGUUCGGAAGAAUGGUAGCUACGACCCGUUGUCGUCAUCUUGGGAAACGUACGAUGAACGCCUGGAGCAGUUUCUAGUGGCAACAGGUAACAGCAAAGACGAGGCGCAGAAGAAGGCAGUCUUUCUGACGGUUAUAGGAGAACACGCAUACACGGUAUUACGUGACCUCGUACACCCAAACAAACCUGCAGACAAAGAGUAUGCGGAGCUCCUAGGCGCGCUGAAGAGACAUUUCCAACCUCGACCCAUGGUUAUCACCGAACGCUUCAAGUUUCACAGAAGGAACCAGAAACAAAGAGAAUCAGUCAGAGUUCAUAACAGCUUUGAGGAGGUUGAGUAAACAUUGUCAAUUUCGCGCUUUUCGAGGAAGCAUUGAGAGACUGCUUGGUGUGCGGACUACAAAAAUGAGGCUAUCCAAAGGAAACUGCUAGCGGAAGAGGACCUGUCUCUAGACAAAGCAUUCAUGAUGGCUAUCUCAAUGGAGCUGGCAGCACAGCAAGCGGUGGAUUUACGGAAAGCAGUAGAAACCAGACACGAGACAUCACUAGACAAACAGACAAACACCAUGAGAGUGACACAGAGAUUGCCACAAAAGAGUCAGGGAGGUAAACAGACCAAACAGGGAACACAGAAAUCACGUAUCCAAUCAGGGGAUAACACAUCCAGGAAACCGUGUUGGAGGUGUGGCAAACCCAACCACAAUCAGGCAGUUUGUUAUUUUCAUUAAAAGGAGUGUUGGAAAUGUCAAAAGAAAGGACACACAGCGAGUCAAUGCAAAGGGAGUGCUGCCAAUGCUCAGUAUCUGAGUGAUGAAGAGGAUGGCAGCAAUAGUGAGUUAGUGGGUCAUGAACAGUCAAUUCAAUCCAGUUAUAAAACGAUAUGCAAGAUGCAGCCGUGGAUGGUACCUGUUGAAUUAAAUGACAAGCAAUUACAAAUGGAGCUGGACACAGGGGCAUCCCGUACGAUUAUUUCUCAUCAGAAGUUCAAGGAACUAUGGACCGAGAGUUUAGUGGGGAAAUUGAUUGUUAAACAACAGUUGUGUUUAUCUAGAGGGGGAGGGAUUUCAUAGCGUGUUGUCAUAGACCCGGAUACUCCGGGACCUUGGGCUUUGGCGCGAGAUGGUAACGUGUUAUAGUGAGUAGUACUGUACUGAGCAGAAGACUAAAUAUACGACAAAUAGUGUAUACGUUUGACUAGAAAUACUGAUUUUGAAACCUUUA